rnacentral:rRNA from 1 species
AACGAACGCUGGCGGCAUGCCUAACACAUGCAAGUCGAACGAGACCUUCGGGUCUAGUGGCGCACGGGUGCGUAACGCGUGGGAACCUGCCCUUAGGUUCGGAAUAACUCUCCGACAGGGGUGCUAAUACCGGAUAAUGUCUUCGGACCAAGGAUUUAUCGCCUUUGGAUGUGCCCGCGUUGGAUUAGCUAGUUGGGAGGGUAAAAGCCUACCAAGGCGCCGAUCCAUAGCUGGUCUGAGAGGAUGAUCAGCCACACUGCGACUGAGACACGGCCCAGACUCCUACGGGAGGCAGCAGUGGGGAAUAUUGGACAAUGGGCGAAAGCAUGAUCCAGCAAUGCCGCGUGAGUGAUGAAGGCAUUAGGGUUGUAAAGCUCUUUUAACCGGGAUGAUAAUGACAGUACCGGGAGAAUAAGCGCCGGCUAACUCCGUG